rnacentral:rRNA from 1 species
ACGCACGCUGGCGGCGUGCUUCACACCUGCAAGUCGAACGGUGAAGCGCCUUCCUUUUUGGUGGGUGUGGAUGAGUGGCGAACGGGUGAGUAACACGUGAGUAACCUGCCCCCUUCUUCUGGAUAACCGCAUGAAAGUGUGGCUAAUACGGGAUAUUCUGGGUCUGUCGCAUGAUGGGUCUGGGAAAGAUAUUGUUUCGGUGGGGGAUGGGCUCGCGGCCUAUCAGCUUGUUGGUGGGGUGAUGGCCUACCAAGGCGGUGACGGGUAGCCGGCCUGAGAGGGUGGACGGUCACACUGGGACUGAGACACGGCCCAGACUCCUACGGGAGGCAGCAGUGGGGAAUAUUGCACAAUGGGCGCAAGCCUGAUGCAGCGACGCCGCGUGAGGGAUGGAGGCCUUCGGGUUGUGAACCUCUUUCGCCAGUGAAGCAGGCCUGCCUCGUUUGUGGGUGGGUUGACGGUAGCUGGAUAAGAAGCGCCGGCUAACUACGUG